AAAUGGUGGCGCUGUUUAGAAAAAUUUGAAAACAACACGAUUGGCAAUUUAUUUGGAUUUCGAAGAUUCUGGUCCUGGCUGAAAUUUAGAGUACUGCAGCUGUAGCCUGUAUACCAUACAUUCGCUGUAGCCUGUACACCAUACAUUCGCUGUAGCCUGUAUACCAUACAUUCAACAUGAAAAGGACUGUCAGGAUGCUGCAUAAAAUGGUCUUAGCUAGAGCCUAGAAUGUUUAUUUCUUGGGAAUAUGCUGCAAGGAACUGACGGGGUGCAGUUUUUCUUACCAAUCAUAGAAGCAGUUAGAGACAGCCAAAGAAGUACUCAAACGCUUGACAUACCCAGAAAGAUCAAGAAGAAAAGAUUGGAACAGAUUGAAGCUGAAUUGAUAAAACUAUUAAAGUGAAUUUAAGCUGCACUUGAACUGUAUUUUUGAAAUAAAAUAUCUGAAGUAUUUAAUAUUGUCUUGAUAUUUUGUUAAACUUGGUUACUUUGCUUUAUAUCCAAAAAUUAAAGUAUGGUGGGUUUUCAACGUUGAAAUGACAUUGAAACUUCAACGUUGUGCCAACGUUGAAGCUGCAACGUUGUAUCAACGUUGAAAUUUCAACAUUGUUUCAACUUUCAAAUCCGAAUAUAAAUCCAACCUUAUUUCAACGUUGAAAUCUGACCAAAAUU